rnacentral:misc_RNA from 1 species
UCGAGUUAGGGUCUCUCAGGCCCGAUCUCCAACCCUUUGUUUACCACACCACGUUGCUUCGGCGAGCCCGCCUCUCCGGGGGCCGCUGGGGGGGAGUCACGUCUCUCCUGGCCAGUGCUCGUCGACAGCCCAACCCAAAACUCUUGUUAAAAACAUGUCGUCUAAAGUAUACAUUAAAUUAAAAGCA